rnacentral:rRNA from 1 species
AGGCCUUCGGGUCGUAAAGCUCUGUUGUUAGGGAAGAACAAGUACCAGAGUAACUGCUGGUACCUUGACGGUACCUAACCAGAAAGCCACGGCUAACUACGUGCCAGCAGCCGCGGUAAUACGUAGGUGGCAAGCGUUGUCCGGAAUUAUUGGGCGUAAAGCGCGCGCAGGCGGUUCCUUAAGUCUGAUGUGAAAGCCCMCGGCUCAACCGKGGAGGGUCAUUGGAAACUGGGGAACUUGAGUGCAGAAGAGGAAAGCGGAAUUCCACGUGUAGCGGUGAAAUGCGUAGAGAUGUGGAGGAACACCAGUGGCGAAGGCGRCUUUCUGGUCUGUAACUGACGCUGAGGCGCGAAAGCGUGGGGAGCRAACAGGAUUAGAUACCCUGGUAGUCCACGCCGUAAACGAUGAGUGCUAAGUGUURGRGGGUUUCCGCCCYUUAGUGCUGMAGCUAACGCAUUAAGCACUCCGCCUGGGGAGUACGGYCGCAAGGCUGAAACUCAAAGGAAUUGACGGGGRCCCGCACAAGCGGUGGAGCAUGUGGUUUAAUUCGAAGCAACGCGAAGAACCUUACCARSUCUUGACAUCCUCUGACMACUCUMGARAUWGAGCGUUCCCCUUCGGGGGACAGARUGACAGGUGGUGCAUGGUUGUCGUCAGCUCGUGUCGUGAGAUGUUGGGUUAAGUCCCGCAACGAGCGCAACCCUUGGUCUUAGUUGCCAG